rnacentral:misc_RNA from 1 species
UGGUUCUGGCAUCGAUGAAGAACGCAGCGAAAUGCGAUAAGUAAUGUGAAUUGCAGAAUUCAGUGAAUCAUCGAAUCUUUGAACGCACAUUGCGCCCGCCAGUAUUCUGGCGGGCAUGCCUGUUCGAGCGUCAUUUCAACCCUCAAGCCCCCCGGGCUUGGUGUUGGGGAUCGGCCGCCCUCCGCGGUGGCCGGCCCCGAAAAACAGUGGCGGUCUCGCCGCAGCUCCCUCUGCGUAAUAGAAAUACCUCGCACCGGGACGCGGCGCGGCCUCGCCGUAAAACCCCCAACUUCUGAAAGGUUGACCUCGGAUCAGGUAGGAAUACCCGCUGA